rnacentral:misc_RNA from 1 species
AUCUAAUAAAGAAUUGUUUUUGGUUGUGGAAGAGGAUACUCGUUAUUUUCCAAAUGAUUAAAAAUAGUAAUACAAUGUGUGUUAUGCACUAGGAGGCAACAACAAUGGAACAAGGUACAGUUAAAUGGUUUAAUGCAGAAAAAGGUUUUGGAUUUAUCGAACGCGAAAACGGAGACGAUGUAUUCGUACAUUUCUCAGCUAUCCAAAGCGAAGGCUUCAAAUCUUUAGACGAAGGUCAAAAAGUAACUUUCGAAGUUGAGCAAGGUGCACGUGGAGCUCAAGCUGCUAACGUUCAAAAAGCUUAAUUUUUAAAAUUAAAUCGUAACCUAUAUGAACAGACUUCCUCGAUGGGAGUCUGUUUUU